rnacentral:rRNA from 1 species
ACCAGUGAUUUAGCUAUACAGGCACCACUCCUUCCCAUUCCGAACAGGAAAGUGAAACUGUAUAGCCCUGAUGAUACUGAUUGUUUCGACGGUUGGUAAAGUAAGGUUUGCUGGUC